rnacentral:snRNA from 1 species
AUUGUAUCGGUGAUUUGUCUUCUAGUAAAAAAAAUCUGUUUUUAUCAGUUUAAUAUCUGAUAUAUCUCCCAGCUGAAGUCCAUAUAUUAAAUUGCUUUUUGAAACAGGGAGAUGGAGUAUGGAUUUCCUCUGUCCACUCCACGCAUCCACCUAGUAUUGCAUUGCUUCUGGGAACGGUGUACUCCAC